rnacentral:rRNA from 1 species
AAUCAACGCUGGCGGCGUGCCUAACACAUGCAAGUCGGACGAGAAAGUGGGAGCAAUCCUGCGAGUACAGUGGCAGACGGGUGAGUAACACGUGAACGACCUACCCUUGAGUGGGGAAUAACACCGCGAAAGCGGUGCUAAUACCGCAUAAAAUCUUGGUGCUGCAUGGCAUUAAGAUCAAAAGCGAAAGUUGCUUAAGGAGGGGUUCGCGGCUGAUUAGCUAGUAGGUGAGGUAACGGCCCACCUAGGCGACGAUCAGUAGCCGGCCUGAGAGGGCGAACGGCCACACUGGAACUGAGACACGGGCCAGACUCCUACGGGAGGCAGCAGUGGGGAAUUGUGCGCAAUGGGCGAAAGCCUGACGCAGCAACGCCGCGUGGAGGAUGAAGGCCUUCGGGUCGUAAAGCUCUUUUCUCAGGGACGAUGAUGACGGUACCUGAGGAAGAAGCCACGGCUAACUACGUGCCAGCCGCCGCGGUAAGAC